rnacentral:piRNA from 1 species
UGGGCAGUCUGAUGAAUUAUCCUUAAGUG